CAGUAGCCACGGUAAUACAGAGGAUGCAAACGUUAUCCGGAAUGAUUGGGCGUAAAGCGUCUGUAGGUGGCUUUUCAAGUCCGCCGUCAAAUCCCAGGGCUCAACCCUGGAUAGGCGGUGGAAACUACCAAGCUGGAGUAUGGUAGGGGCAGAGGGAAUUUCUGGUGGAGCGGUGAAAUGCGUAGAGAUUAGGAGGAACACCAGUGGCGAAGGCGGCUUUUUGGCCUGUAACUGACACUGAGGCGCGAAAGCGUGGGGAGCAAACAGGAUUAGAGACCCCCGUAGUCCCUGUCUCUUAUAC
rnacentral:rRNA from 1 species